UACGUAGGGGGCUAGCGUUGUCCGGAAUCAUUGGGCGUAAAGAGCGUGUAGGCGGUCCGGUAAGUCCGCUGUGAAAGCCCGGGGCUCAACCCCGGGAGGCGGGUGGAUACUGUCAAGCUCGAGUCCGGAAGAGGCGAGUGGAAUUCCUGGUGUAGCGGUGAAAUGCGCAGAUAUCAGGAGGAACACCAAUGGCGAAGGCAGCUCGCUGGGACGUGACUGACGCUGAGACGCGAAAGCGUGGGGAGCAAACAGG
rnacentral:rRNA from 1 species